GUAUCAGGUAGGGCGGUGGUUUGGGAAAAUGAUGAGACAAGCCACUUAUAGUGGUAAGAAAAAUCUUUCUGAAAAGAAGUUUCUAACAAGGUGAGAACCUGGUUUUAGCCUCAUUCUGUGUAUUUUUCUGGUAUCUGUGUGUAUUUAUGGUAUCUGUUUAUAUUGGCUCUCUGUGUAUAUGUAUUAUAUUUGUGUGUAUUUAUUGGUACUGUGUGUACUAUAUUUAUUGUAUCUGUGUAUUUAUCAUGGUGUCUGACCGUGAAUGCAUGUUGUCUUGCAUGGGAAUAAUUUAUGCAUGAAAGCAACUUUAAAACUGGCUCUUUUUAAUGUUGCAAUGUGACAUCAUUGAUUCGUAUUUCUACAAAUUUUUGUUAUUCUUUGUUUUGGAUAUUUUAUAUUAUUGUGUGUUUGGCUGGAAAUUUUGCACAACACAUUUAUUGUCCUAUACCAAGGUCAAUUUACUUCCUCUGAAAUGUCAAAGUUAUCAAUUAAUUUGCAUGUCAAUUAGUGAAAUAAGUAUUUGACCCCUUCGACUUAGUACUUGGUGGCAAAACCCUUGUUGGCAAUCACAGAGGUCAGACGUUUCUUACAGUUAGGCACCAGGUUUGCACACAUCUCAGGAGGGAUUUUGUCCCACUCCUCUGCAGAUCCUCUCCAAGUCAUUAACCCCUUAAGGACGGAGCCAAAUGUACACUUUGUGAACGAAACAAAAUGUAAACAAAACCUGGCAUUUGCGCUACAUGUCUGUCCAACCGUAAUUCACCUCUUUCAUAUUAAAUGCACCCACCCUUAUUAUAUAUCAUUUUAUUCAGGGGAAACAGGGCUUUCAUUUAAUAUCAAUGAAACAUAAAUUAAUAUGAAAAAAAUGGGAGAAAAUAAGCUGUUUUUUUUUUGUUCUACAUGACAUUUUAACUGUCAAUGUCAUAAUACUGUUUGCUUUUACUGCAAUAAAAUACACAUAUUUGUAUUCAGCGAUGUCUCACGUGUAAAACAGUACCCCCUAUGUACAGGUUUUAUAGCGUUUUGGGAAGUUACAGGGUCAAAUAUAGCACGUUACAGUUGAAAUUGAAAUUCGCCAGAUUGGUUACGUUGCCUUUGGGACUUUAUAGUAGCCCAGGAAUGAAAUUUACACCCAUAAUGGCAUACCAUUUGCAAUAGUAGACAACCCAAGGUAUUGCAAAAGGGUUAUGUCCAGUCUUUUUUAGUAGCCAUUUGGUCACAAACACUGGCCAAAGUUAGCGUUAGUAUUUGUUUGUGUGUGAAAAAUGCAAAAAACGCCAAUUUUGGCCAGUGUUUGUGACUAAGUGGCUACUAAAAAAGACUGGACAUACCCCAUUUGCAAUACCUUGGGUUGUCUACUAUUGCAAAUGGUAUGCAUCCGGUCUUAAGGGGAUAAGGUUACGAGGCUGACGUUUGGCAACUCAAACUUUUUGCUCCCUCCACAGUUUUUCUAUGGGCUUAAGGUCUGGAGACUGGCUAGGCCACUCCAGGACCUUAAUGUGCUUCUUCUUGAGCCACUCCUUUGUUGUCUUGGCUGUGUGUUUUGGGUCAUUGUCGUCGUGGAAUACCCAUCCACGACCCAUUUUCAAUGCCCUUGCUGAGGGAAGGAGGUUCUCACUCAAGAUUUGACCGUACAUGGCCCUGUCCAUCGUCCUUUUGUUGCGGUGCAGUUGUCCUGUCCCCUUAGCAGAAAAAGGGAGUGCUACUAAUCUCAGUUCAUUACCUGUAUACAAGACACCUGGGAGCCAGAAAUCUUGCUGAUUGAUAGGGGAUCAAAUACUUAUUUCACUUAUUGACAUGCAAAUCAAUUUAUAACUUUUUUGACAUGCGUUUUUCUGGAUUUUUUUUUUUUGUUGUUAUUCUGUCUCUCACUGUUAAAAUACACCUACCAUUAAAAUUAUAGACUGAUCAUUUCUUUGUCAGUGGUCAAAUAUUCAAAAUCAGCAGGGGAUCAAAUACUUUUUUCCCUCAUUGUAGUUGCCUUAGCUCCUUUUGGGCUACUUAUUUAAAUGAUCACUCCAAGCCAGUGGUGUAUUUAGGAUUUGUGCUACCCUAGGCAGGACAGUGCUUAGGCACCCUCCCCCCCCCAAUUUAAAUUUUUCCCACCCCUUCCUGUCAAGGCCACACUUUGACUGACAGCUGUUCACUCACUUACAGACGCACACUUUCAUAUACACUGACAUACACACUCACUGAUUUGACACACUGAUAGACAAACAUACACUAUUACUCGGACGCACACUCUCACUGACUGACUGACUGUCACUCACUCACAUUAACUGACAGACGCAUUCACUCACUCACAUUCAUUGACACACACACACACAUUCACUGACACACUCAUUCACUGACACACUCACAUUCACAUUUCCCCCACUCACAAUUUUUUUUUUUUUUUUUAAAUUGAAAUCCACCCAGACUCCCUACUUUUGGGAUACCUGGGUGGAUUUUUCACCUGGGGUCCAGUGGGGGAGGCAGCCAGAUGUGCAGGCGGGCAGUUGUAUCGCGGGCGGGCAGCCACACUAAGCUGUCAGUGAGGGACCACUUUCCGCUGAGCUCUCUGCUCAGCUCCCUCACGAGCCGCAGAUUGAUGCCGGGAGCCGCAAUAUGAUGUCUAAUUUGAACCCUAACAUUAACCCUAAAUGUCCCAUGUCCUAAGCUUAGUGAAUGCACUAACUAUAAUGAAAGUGUAAAACUAGUUUUACUUACCUUCCAGGACCUUGCUGUGGAGGAGUAGCAGGAGUGCUAGCACGCAUGUGCAGCACAGGAUCCAGCUGAUUCCCCUCCCCGGAAGUGACGUGGGUAUAGCAAUCUGACGGGGUAUACCAGACUGAUAGAACACCGGCAUUACUGUGGGUCGCACGAAGGAGCUGAGCAGAGAGCUCAGGGGAAAGUGCUCCCUCGCCACCCGCCUGAGAAAGAACUGCCUGCCUGCCCCGGGGGAGCAUGAAGAUGGCCAGCCGACCAGCUCUUGGGCUAUCAUAAAAUGAAGCAAACAAGGUAUUUGCCUGGGCAUUUGAGGGCGGCGUUUUUUGCCGCCCAAGGCAAAUGCCUUCUUUGCCUCGUGGUAGACACAUUUCUGCUCCAAGCAUCAUCACCACUUUAACAUUGCACCCCUCCCCUCAAUGUAAGUCGUUAAUCCAUUGGGUAAUGGUUUGAUUUCUUAAUUGGGUCGCUGCUUUUAUGGAGAGCCAGAUGCUCCUGCUAGGAGUGUUCAUGAGCUCUAUUGAGCUAAACUCUGCUGUGCAGGGCCAGAUCCUUGGCUGAAAGUGUCAGCUGAUCGAUGUCAGCCAUUGAGCUAAGCCCUGCUGCACUACAGUAUGCAGUAGUAGUUAUGGUGAUCAGAGUGUUCAGUUAUUUCUCAAUAAGUAUUUGUUUACUAACUGCACAUUUCUUUUGUGAUCCUCUAGUGUAUUUGUCAUUUUGUUUUAAAUAAUUUUUAUUGGUUCAUAGGGAAAGCAGUCAUCCCACGCAGGGGAGGUAACCGAACCGUAAUAAACAUACGUCAUAAGCAUAUGCCACAAAGUGCAUUCUAUAUCAAAUUAGAACAGUCAAAGCCUAGCGUGGCAGAAAGGUUAUAGUUUGUGAACGGGAGUAACAUAACAAAGAUUAGGCAAAUGCCAUUUUACACAUCCGGUCCAACAUUAGCAAUAAUAAGCCAUUCUCCGUAUCCUAUUUUGCAGUAGGCAUAUGUUAGCAGUAAAAUUUUCAGCUGAAUCUGAACCGAAGUAUAUGCACUGUUGUCUACGCUGAAUUAUAACAUGUCAAGCUAAAGCAAGUUAAUUAACGUUUUAUGUCUGUUCUUGACUUUGUUUGACUAAGCAAUGCGCCGCAACCCAAUAGUAAGUCCACAUCUGUAUGACUGAACAGAAGGGCAUACCACAGUACAGUAUUUGAUAACUAAGCCUAGCUAAAGAAGUAGAUUUCAGCUCAGUAUGGCUCCUAUUAAAUGUAUGGUCGGGCUUUACAGCAGUUUAACCCCUAGUGAUUGCUGUCAAUAAAGCAAAGUCCUAACUAUAUGGCGUACUGUUAAGCGCAUGCGGCAUGAAUGGAAUAUAGUAAUCAGGCAGUAUAAGUCAGCGAUAAAUCUGAGCUAUUGGCAUUAUAACAGCGCCUAAUAAGGCCCUGGCAUGUAGGUCUGUAACAUAUCACAUGUUUGGCUCUGCCCUGGUUAAGCAUCAUUAAACACAUAAAAUAAAAAUAUAAAUAAAGUAGAAAAGAAAUUAAAUAAAAGUAAACCUUUAAUACGCAUCUGAAAGUUUGUUUUUUUGUUGUUUUUUGUUUUAUAGCAAAUAGAGAAAAAGUUAAUCUUUUGCUUUUAGAUAUUAAAUUGUCAUUUUGGCUUGUGUUUAAGUAAGCGGACUUUAAAUAUAUCAUGUAAUUAAAUAAUAUAGGAAAUAAUGUGUGGCAUAUAGAUUUUUCUUUUUGUAGCCUGCUGCGUAGUUGCUGAGGGAUGAGUAGAAUAUUGACAAUUUUAAGCGUUGAUGGUCUUUUCGGCACCAGGUAUUUACAGUCCCUUCACUGUUGGCUGCACAUAGAUGGUGGCCAUCACAGGCAAGCAUACGGCUUUCAGUUGGUUUGUUGGGCUUGGGGAAGGUAAUUUCUCUCACUGGUUUCAUGUCCCAUGCACUCCAUGACAGGUGCAGGGCAUUUCUCAAUAGCUGUCCGAUGAGGGCCUCCCUUGGUUCGGCCGCAGUGCAUCUCUCAAGUUGCCAAGUUUCCUUCCGUCCCCCCCCCGGGCUGGUCCCAGCCCAGCACCUGAGUCCUCCGCAGCGCUGUGGGCACUCGGGGGUUGAAGCAGACCACUCGACCCCCACAUCUAGAGUCUGUGGGCCACCCACACCCUGCACCUCCCCAUCACCACCUCAGACCCAGUAAAGCUCGUGUCCGGGUGUCUCUCCUGGUGCCAGCCACAUACUUAGGGCUGGUGCGUGCCGCUCCCAGCCACCGGUCUGCGCUGUCCCGCCCCACCAGGCUCGCGGCAGCAGGGACAUAACUCUCUGGGGACCCCACAGACCCAGAGGCUAGGGCACUCACUUUUCCUGCUUGCCGUUAUUCAUCGCGGGGGGUCCAUCAGGCACCCUGCAACACCAGGUUCUGCUCAGGCCUUCCAGGUCGGCUCCCCGUGGUGAGUAAUCUUCACAGGGCCCCUUGCUCUGACCUUUCAAAAACGUCUCCGUCCCUGUCGGGGUGCCCUCUCAUAUGUAGGUUUCCUCUCCCCAGUUUCAGUGUUCUUUUCGGCUGGCUGGCCAGUACUCUGCCAUUGCCAGUUUAGGCGGUCAGCACAGAGUCCGUGCGGGGGCUCCCACUGCGGCCCGUGUCGCCGCCAUGCGGCCGGGAUAACCCACGCUGGCCAAGAGGGGGGGGCCAGGGCCACGCCCCGGGCCGAGGGUCCCCCCGCACCUGAAGUGCUUGUCUUGUGGAGGGGUACCCCAAUGAUGCGCCCUUCCACAGUGCCAUGCUGCUGGUAACGGACGCCGAUGUUCAGGAGCCGCGUGUAGGCCGGGCUCGGUUCUCUCCGCCUGCUCUCGGGCAGUAAGGUACGUGCGGGUGACAGGCGUGUACCGGAGCCUCUCCUCUGUCGAGGAUGAUAAGGAUUUCGUUUUUUAAUCAGUCUGGGGCCGUAUGAAGGGCUUUUUCUGGAGGUUUAAUGGCGGAACCCAUGUAGAUGGCGGCAAGUCACUCCCGGCGGCCCGGCCCCCGUAUUUGUCAUUUUGCAUGCCAAUGUAGUUUUAUGUUUUCAAGCCUGUGUCCUACUCUUCUGUAUUAACAUAUAUAUAUAUAUUUAUUUUUUUUUAUUCUCUGUACUGACAUAUAAUUUGGUUUUAAAUCUGUUUUUACAGAUCGUCUGCUUGGGAUCAUAAAAAGCAAACAUGUGGUAAGUAAAUAAUGACUCAAAUCUAAAUAAUUAUUACCCGGUGCUUCACUGGGACGAGGGCUGAGAAGCUCCAACGGGUUGGGGGGGAGGGGGAGGAGGAGGAGGGGUGGCAGGAGCCCAGUAUGUGAACACCAGAGAAGCAACAAGCUGAGCAAGACACACAGGGGCAAUCCAAUAGUGAAAUUAGGUCAGGCCAGGGGUCAGAAUCCAGAGAGAUCUAAAUGUAAUAUUUUAUACAAUAGUCUGAGGAAAAAACAUUAGGAAACUUUACUAAGAGCACAGAAUGACUGAGCAACAGUGCUCAGUGCAUGACAGAACAUAUCCCCUGCCGACCCUUCUAUGUUAUUGCUUAGUCUGGAUAGUGUUUCAGAUUGGCAACCACAAACCGGUGCUGCACAGCAAAUCCAAGUAUAGGUCCUGGCCAUGCCCCAAUGUGAACGCCGGGACCUGCUGGACACUGCCCCAGAUUCAGUGGAAUGCGUCUCCAAGUUGUGGGCAGACAAUGCAGGACCUUGGACCCUGUGAGGUGUUGCUGUUCAUGCACCUGGGGUUUUAAUGUCUGUGACUUUUAGUAAUGUAUGAGUUAGAUCCAACAGUGGUACUAAAUUGUACUAAUUGUUUUACAGUGAAUGGUCUAUAGAUGGAAAAAUCCAUAAAAUAUUAUUUUUAAUCCACUAAAAUAACCUGAAAGCAAAUCAGGAAAAACCAUGUGAACAGAAUUUGGAGAAAAAGUUAUACAUCUGUUUUACAUUUAACCAAGUUGAGUCUCCAUAGUUCUGGGUUUUGAUAACUGUUUGCAUGAGACGUUUGCUACUAUGAUGCGCUCUCUUCAUUGUUUUGUUUUUAAUUGUUGCCCACUUGGUACCGAUUCAGCUAAUACACCAAGAUACAUUUUGCUCCCCAGGCCAAAAGUAUAGCAAGGUUUGUGGAUCGCCUUACAGCACAAUAUUAAAUAUAUUAUGUAACACUAUAUAUAUAUAUAUAUAUAUAUAUAUAUAUAUAUAUAUAUAUAUAUAUAUAUAUAUAUAUAAUUUUUUUAUUAUUAUUAUUGCAGUAUUCGUAUAAAACAAUUGGGAAAGGGAGUGGGGUGGGGUAAAAUUAGAAUUGGCCUAAAAUUAGGCUGCCUGUCUGUAGUUUUCUCUCCAGGCCAAAUGUAGUCUGCCAUCUGCUGUUCCAAGGACACCUAAAUUAUGUUUGAUCAGGCAUAUGAGGAUAUAGUACAUUACGUUACACCUCCUCUAACGUUUGUGAAAGAUCUAAUUGGAAGCAGACCUGCUGCAGGAGCAUACCUUUCAACAUUUCAAAUGGACGCAGAGGGAUACUUAAAUUUUAGGGUUGUGAGUGGUGGUGUGGCCAAGGGUGGGGCUGAUCUGAGAAAUUUGAGGUUAUUUACUAAUAAUAAUUUCUGCAACUAAAAUAUAGUUAGCACAAAAACAAUGGGUCUUAUUUACACAGACUUACUUCUAAACAUAGACAUAUUACUGUGAUUGUUACUGCUGUGGAGCUCUGUAAUACAUUAAGACACAACUUAUGAAGAUCCAAGAAAAGGGGAACAUUAGGAUAGAAAAGAGGGACGGACAGAUUUGGUAACAAAAUAGGGAAACCUGGGAGGUAUGCAGGAACUAUAUUUGUUAAACUGUUGCUUCUAUAAUAUUCUUAUCUUUAGGGAAGGGAGUAUUUGCUAAGGCCUACACCCAAUGUUUUAUUUUGCUGCCCAGUUAUUGAUAAAAUAUAUAUCCAUUCUUCUGCAGAGGUGCCAGGUAGUGUUUGUGAAACAAACAAUGUUAACCAAGAGAAUUCUGGAUCCAAGAAUGUAAAUGAAAGUCCAACCGUCAAAACAGUCCACAUUCCAAAAUCUAUGUCAAAUGAAGCCUUUCUUAAGGUAUAUUUUCCAUAACUUUUUUCUCUAAAUGAAAAAUAUUAAAAUACUUACUGCUGUACACCGAAUUUAAUUGAAUGCUAGCUGGAAUGCAGCAUGUGUUUUUCUUGUAUUUUUAUUAUUUGUGACGGAGCUCCUGUUCUCCGACCGAGUACCUCCACCCAAUCAGCAUCCUAACCACUUGCAGUAACCCUGGCCCAGUCACUAAGCUUUCAGGAGCUCUUCCAUCCGAUCAGGCUGCAGCUCUCCUUCCAGGCAGGUAUUGUCCCCUCUGCCUAUUCCUCUACAGCUUUCCUUCCAGUGAUUUGCUCUGCCUUUACAAAGGCACUUGCAGCUUUCAGGCCUACCUCUCUUAAUUUAUCCCAGGGCUAGAGGAAUCAUGUAACCAGCCAACAGAUCCAAAGACUCUGUCACACAUCCACACAGAACAAAAGGAACUAACAUACAAAACUUUUUUACUUGGGACUAGCCAUAUGUUCAUUACAUAUAGAUUACUGUGACACCGCAAUAAAAAUAGAAAAGGUCAAAUCAUAGCAGACAACAUACAGCAAUUUAUUGUAACAUCAUGACAUAUUUAUAAAGGGGCAGGGAAGACAACAAAUAACAGAAAAUAUCUCCUGCCUGCAGAAUUAGCAAUAUGCAAAUCUACCGAAAUAAGCAAAUUAACAAGCCUUGCUAUUCAGGUAGUGCAUAUCGCUGUUGCUAGAUCCUUGCAACCAAUAGGUUAGUUGAUUGCAAACAUUAGCAAGACAGGAGAGUACACCCUGCACCCACAAUGGACACAGGGUGACUAAAACAUAGGAAUCAUUCAGAUACCUAAUUAACUUGUCCAUCUUAAGCUCUUGGUGAUGGUGACUUCCGUCACAGUGGACUUGACUUGAGCCCUGUGACCUGGAAAGUAUUUAUACCUUCUGAAACCAAGCGUCAGAGUUGUGAUUAAUCUAGUCUGGACCGUGGAGAAUGACAAACAAAACAAUAUAUUUAAAAUACCCAACUAAUAUCUUUUUUUAAUUACACCAGAUAUUUAUUUUUGGUCAAAUGAUAAAAUCUUAUAAAAUGUCAUGUCAGUAAUUAACAAAUUGAGACAUUACCAGAAAAUAAAAUAAUUGGGGUCUCUUUUACCAAGUGCUGAGUUUAAAAUGCUGGUGCACAGAGCACAUUUAAAUAUACUUUUGAAACAGCCAAUACAUGUUUAUUACUAAUAUGUGACUAUUCAAAGAUGUAAUUCACUUAUAUACAAUAAAAUUUUCGACUGAUAGUCCAUUUAAGUCUGUUCCUUGUUCAAUUUAGUUUGCAUUGAGUUUACUAAUAUUGUGUGCAGUGCAGUACUCGUACCACCCUACCACAGAGGUCGUUGUGGCUUUUAAUUUUUCAUAUACUGUCACCUUUUUUUGAUUUUCGGUUACAUUGAAGGUUAGCAGUGUGUGAUUGGGUAAGGUGAAGGAAACCAGAAACACCCCGUGUGUCCAAUUCGUCCUGUCCUCUUAGCACACAAAUAGUUUAGUCCUUCUUAAGUAUGUAUUUAUUUGUUAAGACUUUGUGUCCACUCUGGCAGUCAACACUAUAUUUGUUAUUUUUUGUGUUGUUUUUGUUUGUUUCCUGUAUGUAUCUUCUCAUGCAAUUUUUUUACUAUAAAAAUUUUUUCAGACUAAAUAGUAUGUAAAAAAAUAAAUAAAAAGUGUAAAGAUACCCUAUAGUUACCAGAAAAACUACAGCUUAUUGUAUUUGUUCUGGUGAGUAGAAUCAUUCCCUUCAGGCCUUUUGCAGUAAACACUGUAUUUUCUGAUAAAAUGCAGUGUUUACAUUACAGCCUAGUGAUGACUCCAUUGUCCUCUCCUUAGAUGGUUACUAAAGGUGCUUCCUGGGGCAGUACUGCCAUCACAACAUAUCAGUAUUUCCACCCUCUUUAUGCAGACACUGAACUUUCCUCAUAGAGAUGCAUUGAUUCAAUGCAAUACACAGACUAAUACAGAACAUUACACACACAGGUGCCCCUUACACCCAGGGAUGUUUUAGCCGCAAGGCAAACAAGGCAUUUACCUUGGGCGGCCCCCAAAUGCCCAGGGCAAAUGUGUUGUUAGCCUUGCGGCUAACUGACAUGCCGGUCUGGCUGUUGGGCAGGUGGCGCUGGCGAGGGAGCACUUUCCCCUGAGCUCUCUGCUCAGCUCCCUUGCACGCCGCCCGCAGAGUGAGGCUGGGAGCCGGAAUAUGACCUCAUAUUCCGUCUCCCAGCCUCACUCUGCGGCACGCGAGGGAGCUGAGCAGAGUGCUCAGGGGAAAGUGCUCCCUCGCCAGCCGCCCGCCCAGCAGCCAAUCAGCCCAGCAGCCACUGGACCCCCAGGGAGAAGAACACCCCACCCCCAGCAUUCCCAAAGGUAAGGAGGCUGGGGGAAGUUAAAAAAAAAUAUAAAUGUGUGAGUGUGUCUGUUAGUGUGUGUGUGUCUGACUGUGAGUGUGUUUGCCUGUGAGUGUGUGUGUGUCUGUUAGUUACAUAGUAACAUAGUUACAUAGCCGAAAAGAGACUUGCGUCCAUCAAGUUCAGCCUUCCUCACAUUUGUUUUUUGCUGUUGAUCCAAAAGGCAAAAAAAAAAACAGUUUGAAGCACUAUUAUGCAACAAGCUAGGAAAAAAAUUCCUUCUUGACCCCAGAAUGGCAGUCAGAUUUAUCCUUGGAUCAAGCAGUGAUUAGCCUACAUUGAAUGAUUAUAUCCUUGAAUACUCUGUUUUUGCAAGUAUGCAUCUAGUAGCUGUUUGAACAUCUGUAUGGACUCUGAUAAAACCACUUCUUCAGGCAGAGAAUUCCACAUCCUUACAUUCUUACAGUAAAAAAACUUUUCCUUUGCCUUAGACGAAAUCUUCUUUCUUCCAGUCUAAACGCAUGGCCUCGUGUCCUAUGUAAAGUCCGGUUUGUGAAUAGAUUUCCACACAAUGGUUUGCAUUGCCUCCGAAUAUAUUUGUAUAAUGUUAUCAUAGCCCCUCUCAGGCGACGUUUUUCUAAACUAAAUAGGCUUAAAUUUGUUAACCUUUCUUCAUAGCUGAUAUGUUCCAUUCCUUUUAUUAAUUUUGUAGCCCGCCUCUGCACUUUUUCUAGUGCCAUAACAUCCUUCUUUAGAACUGGUGCCCAAAAUUGCACAGCAUAUUCAAUAUGUGGUCUUACCAGUGAUUUUAUAAAGAGGCAAAAUUAUAUUCUCGUCCCGAGAAUGAAUGCCCUUUUUCAUGCAUGACAAUACCUUACUGGCCUUGGCCACUGCUGAUUGACAUUGCACAUUGUUGCAUAGUUUGUUGUCUAUAACAAUUCCCAAGUCCUUUUCAUGUGUUGUUAUCCCUAAUUCGCUUCCAUUAAGGGUAUACGUUGCUUGUGUAUUCUUUACGCCGAAGUGCAUAACUUUGCAUUUUUCAACAUUAAAUUUCAUCUGCCAUUUGAGUGCCCAGUCCCCCAGUCUAUCUAAAUCCCUCUGCAGCAAAGUAAUAUCUUGCUCACAUUGUAUUGUUUUACAAAGUUUGGUGUCAUCUGCAAACACUGAAACAUGACUUUCAAUGCGGUCUUCAAGAUCAUUUAUAAACAUGUUAAAUAGAAGGGGUCCCAGAACAGACCCCUGAGGGACACCACUUGCCACCUCUGUCCAGCUUGAAAAUUUACCAAUAAUGACAACUCUUUGUACUCUGUUUUUAAGCCAAUGUUCUACCCAAGAACAAGCAUUUUCAUCUAGACCGAUUUCCUUGAGUUUGAACACUAAUCUAUUGUGUGGAACUGUAUCAAAUGCCUUGGCAAAAUCCAAAUAGAUCACAUCCACUGCAACAACCUGAUCUAUACUUCUACUUCUUCGUAGAACGCAAUCAAGUUAGUUUGACAUGACCUGUGCUUCAUAAAACCGUGCUGAUUUUUGCUGAUAACAAUGUUCUUCUCAAGGAAUUCUUGAAUAUUAUCCCUUUAUAACCUUUCAAAUAUUUUACCAGCCACAGAACUUAAGCUCACAGGACUAUAAUUUCCAGGCCAGGAUUUUUAACCCUUUUUGAAAAUAGGAACCACAUCUGCCUUCCUCCAAUCCUCCGGAACAUUUCCUGAAAGAAAAUAAUCUUGAAAGAUUAAAGGACCACUAUAGUGCCAGGAAAACAUACUCGUUUUCCUGGCACUAUAGUGCCCUGAGGGUGCUCCCACCCUCAGGGUCCCCCUCCCGCCCGGCUCUGGAAGGGGGAAAGGGGUUAAAACUUACCUUUUUCCAGCGCUGGGCGGGGAGCUCUCUGCCUCAUCUCCUCCUCCGAUCCUCCUCCGUUACGCCCCGCCGGCUGAAUGCGCACGCGCGGCAAGAGCUGCGCGCACAUUCAGCCGGUCUCAUAGGAAAGCAUUUGCAAUGCUUUCCUAUGGACGCUGGCGUGCUCUCACUGUGAAAAUCACAGUGAGAAGCACGCAAGCGCCUCUAGUGGCUGUCAAUGAGACAGCCACUAGAGGAUUAGGGGGAAGGCUUAACCCAUUAUUAAACAUAGCAGUUUCUCUGAAACUGCUAUGUUUAUUAAAAAAUGGGUUAACCCUAGCUGGACCUGGCACCCAGACCACUUCAUUAAGCUGAAGUGGUCUGGGUGCCUAGAGUGGUCCUUUAAAAACAGAGGUUCACUUAUUUUUACACUUAGUUCCUUAAGUACACGUGGAUGGAUACCGUCAGGCCCUGGAGCUUUGUUUAUAUUAACUUUCUUUAGUUGCUGCAGCACACCUUGUCUUGAGUUAACCAAUUACAAUUAUUCUGCAAGUUUUUAGUAGCAAUCAUUUGCACAUCUAUUGCCAUGGGUUCUUCCUUAAUAUAUACAGAGGAGAAAUAGUUAUUUAAAAUUCCUGCCUUUUCCUGCUCUUCAUUAACUAACACCCCCGUUUCAGUUUUUAGUGUACCUACACUUUCAUUUUUGUUUUUUGUUUUAGAAUUUAUGUACUUAAAAAAUGCUUUGUGGUUGGUUUUGCUCUCUUUAGCUAUCAUUUUUUCAUUUUGAAGUUUAGCAAGUCUAAUUGCCUUUUUGCACGCAUUAUUUGCUUCCUUAUAUCUUUUAUAAGAUGCAUCUGAUUUGUCCGAUUUAAAUGCUUCAAAUGCCCUUUUCUUAUUUUUAGUCUCUUGUUAGUGAGUUUGUGUGUGUCUGCCUGCUAGUGAGUGUGUUUCUGUUAGCUAGUGUAUGCCUAUCGGUCAGUGAAUGUGUGUGUGUGUGUGUGUGUGUGUGUAUGUGUAUAUUUAGAAGGCGGGCUGGGGGGGAAGGAUUGGGUGGGGGGGCGCCUCAGUUUUGUCCUGCCUAGGGCAGCACAAAACCAGGAUACACCACUGCUUACACCAUUGGCGUGCCUUCUACUGCAUACACCUCCGGGCAUACCCGUAGUGACAACAAAAACAGCCUUCCACAUCCUCCUGACAGCACAGAAGGCAAUAGCUCGAAUGUGGAAAGUCAAGAGGCCCCCGCAGGUCACAAAAGUGUGGACAGACACCCAACGGAAAUAUGAGACAUGCUAUCGAAGUGUCUUCCCUAUGACAAAGCUGGCAACAGAGGCUUGGGAGCUCUGGGGCUCCUGGAGAGCAGACAACAGACUGACACUUAGACAACCAGAACUAGUACAAUAAUAUACGCCUAUAUGUACCAGUAUGUUCAAGAUGUGUAAAUAUGCCUCCAUACGAUGCACCACAAACACCACCAGGACCAGACGGGACACAUUAUGUUUAGGAAUGGGAGAUGUAGGCAACCAAGACUGCUAGAAGGGAUAACGGCCAAACACCAAGUACCAAGUAAUGAGUUUACUGUUUCCAAUGUAAGCCCUUGUGUGAGAGGAACUCUUAUACCUAGAAAACAUAGUGAAUUGUACUGUACCUAACUACUGCAAAAGGAAUCUUUUUACUGUAUAAACGUGGCACUGUAAAUGCUGUAUGCAUUGUGUUUUAGUGAGAGAAGGAGAGAGAUCUGUGGUUUAGCUAGAGAGAUUUAGGUGUUUAUAGGUAGGGAUUUGUAAACUCUAGAGACCCAAAGGCUCUUUUCAGAGCCAUUAACCCCUGUCUUGCCAGUGAUCACUAUAAUCACUGGCUUUUGCACAGCAGUAAUUUUCUGCUGUUUGUGCAUUUAUUUUUUUUAUUUAUUUUUAGGGGUUCAUUUUUUGUGAUUUUUUAUUUUUUAUUUUUUUUUAUUUUUUUAUUUUUUUUUUUUAGACCCAAAAGCUCUUUUCAGAACGAUUAACCGCUGUCCUGUCUGUGAUCACUAUACAGAUCACAGGCUCUUGCACAGCAGCACUUAUUUUGCUGUCUGUUCAUUUUUUUUAUGGGUUAUUUUUUUUUUGUGACAGGUCACUAAAUAAAGUAAUUGUGAUCAUGUCACAUGGGUCACGGAAGUCAACCAGCGCUGAGCAGUCAUAUGCCACCCUUGCGCUAGAGUCUGACGCGUCUAUGUCAGACUCUGACCCUGAUUUUGACCCAGCCAGGUGCUCAGAUACAUCAUCACUAGAUACAGUGUCUGCUGCAAGUGAUGUAUCUAGUGAUGUUGUAUCUGUGCCUGCUAAAAGCAAACCCCGUGACGCAACUGAGAUUUUUACAGUUUCAGCUCCAGAUCAUUUCGGGGAUUUUGUACCGUGAUGCACCUGCUCCCUGGGCGGUGAUGGGAGAGAGCAGAGUUGGGGCUACACAUUUUAUUUUUAAAAUCCCCCCCCCUACUGCGGCUAAGCAGAAUCCCCCAAAAAGAUGCAGGGUCUGUUCUAAGAGGGGGCAGAGAAAAGACAGUGUAUAUUACUGUCCUGAUUGCCCUGGACAGCCUGGACCCUGCAUUGGCGACUGCUUCAAACGCUACCACACGCUGGUCCAUUUUUUUUUUAUUUAUUUUUUUUAUUCUUUAUUUUCCGGUUGACAGAAAUGGUAAGUUUACAGAUGUUGGACAGAAGGUAGUGUGUGGGCUUAUGCAAAAGCCAAAAGGUAAACAGUGUAGUAAUGCAUUGUGAUACAGAGAGGUAUAUACCAGUAGAGUAGUUUACUGCUAACGCAACAUUAUUUUCUCAUAUACGAUUCUGUUCUGUCGAUUUUUCCAUACAUUUAAACAAUUCAAAACAAAAUAAAACAAAUAUUAACAAGUUUGAACCUAAGAUCAUGUUUCCUUGGUAUGGUACAUGGAUUCGGAACUGCAAGUUAAGGGGCGAGAGUGGAUUAAGUUCAGUUCCGGGAUAGAGUGUGGAUUGGGGGUUCCACACUGUGGGGUUUCUGAUGGGGUUGUGGGGGGGGGGGUGAAAAGGUGUCCCUGAUCUGUGGGUUGUGCGGUUUUUCGGAGUUGCAUAUUUCAUUGUGGACCUGUCUUGGACACUGACGUCUUGGCCCCUAUGGGUUAUGUGUUUGUGCAUGAUUCCUGUCGUGGUUGGUUGCCCCCUUUUUUUGGGGGUGUCUUAUGUGGCUGUGGUGGGUUCCAUGAGCCACAGAUCCCAUAUUUUGUCACAAUGCGUUGUGGUGUCAUGAAUGAGUGUAGAUAAACUGUCCAUUGCCCUGGCUUCGUUAAUUUUUUUUCUUUAUGUCAGUGAGUGACGGGACUGUGGGUGAGCCCCAAUGGGAGGCUAUGGCUCUCCUUGUUGCCAAGGCUAGUUUGGCUAGUAGUUUGUUAUGAGCCCGUGGUGUACCGACCAGCGGUUUGGAUAGUAACCAUAACCACGGGUCUCUUGGGAUGGUAUCAUGUAGGACUCUGGAGGCCAGGGCCACUAUGUCAGUCCAGAUUUGUGCAAUGUGGGGGCAUUCCCACCACAUGUGGUAGUACGUUCCCUUUUGGCCGCACCCCUUCCAGCAUCUAUCUGAGGUGGAUAGUCCCAUUUGCUUGUGUUUUAGCGGAGUAUGAUACCAGCGCAUCAGGGUUUUGUAUGCCUGUUCUUUAUGUGUUAUGCAUAUCGUCACUGUCGCUGUGGCUACCCAGAUUGCGGACCAGUCUGUGGGGUCUGCAGGGGGUCCUAGAUCCCUUUCCCAUGCUAUUACAUACCCUGGUGGGUGUGUUCCUAUCGGUUUGAGCAGUAGUUCGUAGGUUGUGGAGAUCUGACUUAUUUGUAUGGGGGCAUGGAUGCAUGCCUGCUCAAAAACGGUGAGGGGUGUAUUUCCGGCUUGUUUGUAGGUAGGGGUGUCUAGGAGAUUUUUGAUUUGCAGGUAGCGGAAGAAGUCGUGUGUGGUGAGUGGUCUGGUUUGUGGCAGGUCCGUGAAAGCAAUGAUUUUUUGGUUUCGAAAGAAUUGAUAUGUCCUGACGAGGUCGUUGUCUUCAUAGUGCGCGAAGUCUUUUGGGGUCAUGCCUGGCGUGAAGUGUUCGUUUCUCAGGAUUGGUGUCAGGGCUGAUGGGUUCGAUGUGAGCCCGUGUUUUAUGGAGAGUUUGUUCCAGAUUGCAAUCGCGGUGUCAAGUACCGGUGUGGUGUUGCGGGGGUUGUGGUCUGGCUUGUUUUGGGACCCAGAUGUAGAGGGAAGGGAAAUCGUGUCCGAACAGGUCAUGUUCAAGGUCUACCCAUCUUUUCAACCCUAUGGGUGCGUGUAGUGCUUUAAUCUGUGCUAGUUGGGCUGCGUGUAAAUAGUGGAGGAAGUGGGGUAGGCCUAGGCCCCCCGAGCGCGUCGGGAGGUAGAGGAUGUCUCUUCGUAUUCUGGCCCGUUUGUUGGCCCAUACGAAGCGAUCUAUUUGUGUUUGUAGUAGUUUAAAGUCCUUGGCUACUAUUUGAACCGGUAGUGUCUGGUAUAGGUAUAAGAACCUCGAUAGGAGAUUCAUUUUUACGCAUGCCACCCUUCCUAGCCAGGAGAUGGAGUGGGAUUCCCAUGUUUUAAGGUCCGCUGUUGCCUUUUGAAGUAGGGGGGGAUAAUUGAGUCGGUAUGUCUGGGAGACGUCUGCUGGUAAGUCUAUACCCAGAUAGUGUAUAUGCGUGGGGUUGAAGCGAAACGGAUAGUUUAUUUUUAAUGAGUCUAGGUCCUCCUGGGGGAUUUGUACUGGAAGUGCUUCCGUUUUAUCCAGGUUGAGGCGGUAGCCUGAGACCUGUGCAUAUUCUUGUAUGGUGUGUAGAAGGGGUGGGAGUGAAUUUAUCGGAUCUGUGAGGGUGAGGAGUAGGUCGUCUGCGUAUCCUGCCACUUUAUAUUCUUCUUCCCUGACGUGUACUCCCUUUAUUGUUGGGUCCAGGCGUAGGGCUUGGAGUAGGGGUUCUAAUGAGAGGGCAAAUAAGAGUGGGGAGAGGGGGCAGCCCUGUCUCGUCCCGUUGUAGAUGCGAAAAGAGGGGGGUUGAGCAUUUGGGAUUAGGAGGUUCGCUUCUGGUGUGGAGUAUAAGAUGUUGAGCGCAUUGAGAAUUGAGUCGGGGAACCGGAAUUUGUGUAGGGUGGCAAAGAGGAAAGGCCAUAAUACUCGGUCGAAUGCCUUUUCGGCGUCUAGGGACAGGAAUAGGGUGGGGAUUCGUCGAUGAGAGGUCGUCCAAAGUAGGUCAAAGGUCCGUCUGGUGUUAUCGUAUGCCUGUCUGUAGGGUAUGAAGCCUACUUGGUCGGGGUGUAUAAGUUUAUGUACGUGGGGGUUUAUUCUGUCUGCAAGUAGCUUCGUAAGUAGUUUUAUGUCUACAUUUAGUAAGGAUAUCGGUCUGAAGUGGCUUGGGUCCAGGUGGGUUUUGUUUGGUUUGGGAAGAAGGCACACGUUUGCUCUUAGGAGGUCGGGGGGUAUGGGGUUUCCAUGUAGUAUCGUGUUGAAGAGGUUGCAAAGGUGGGGGAGGAGUAUAGCAGGAAAUGUUUUGUAAUAGAGGCCCAUGAAGCCAUCCGGUCCCGGGCUUUUGUUGGGUUUAGUGUUUUUGAUGGUUUUGGCUAGUUCUUCGAUAGUGAUUGGCGCACUUAUUUUGGAUAUAGCCUCCGUUUUUAGGGCUGGUAAGGGUAUCUUCUGUAGGUAUUCGUCUAUAGAUUGUCUGGACUCUUCGGGUUGUAGUCUGGUGUUGGGGCUAUGGUCGUAUAGUGUGGCAAAAUAUUUUUGGAAGACUUCGCCGAUUUUAGACGGCGUGCUGUGUGUGGUGCCGUCCGGUGAUUGUAUUGUGUUUAUUUGUUUUCGGUCAAGUCUGCGUUGCAGCUUCCUGGCUAGUAGGGUGUCGGCCUUGUUGGAUUUUUCAUAAUAGGUUUGUUUUGUCCAUUGCAUAGCUUUGGUUGUGUCUUUGGUCAUGAAGUUUUUAAUUUUGGUUCGGCAUUCUGUUAUUUCCGUAAGGAUGUCUUGUGUGGGGUUUGGUUUGUGGCUCGUUUCUAGGGAUCUGAGAGUCGUGAGGGCUGUUGCUAACUCAGCCAGUUGUGUUCUUUUUAGGUGAGAUGCUAGGCUUAUAAUUGUUCCCCUUAGGACUGCCUUGUGGGCAGCCCACAGUACGCCUGGUGAGGGUGCGUUUAGUGUGAAGUAGUUUGUCAGUUCUGUUUGGAUUGCUUCUGUUAUUUUCGGGUUGUGUAGCAGUGUGGAGUUAAGUUUCCAGGACCAUAGCCUGGCUAUGUCGGGGACCUUGAUUGAUAUUGUGAUAUCUGCGUGGUCUGACCACGUGAUGUUGCCUAUGUCGGCUGCUUGGGUCAUGUGCGCAAGUGGGGGUGAAAUCAGAAAAAGGUCGAUGCGGGAGUAAGAGUUGUGUGGGUGGGAAUAGAAUGUGUAGUCCCUGGUGGUCAGGUGGAGCAGGCGCCAGACAUCUACCAGUCUCUGUCUUUGUACGAAGUCCUGCAGUAGUCUGUCUAUUUUGGGUGUGGGAUUUGGGCGUGUUUGGCUUCGUAUUCUGUCGACCGCCGAUGUCGUUAUGGCGUUGAAGUCGCCGCCUACAAUUUUGAGGUGGCCAGGGGUUAGGGCUAAGUGUGCGUGGAACGUGUCCCAAAAUUCUUUGUCUGGAGUGUUUGGGGCGUAGAGUGAGGUUAUGGCGUAUUGGUUGUGUCCUGCCUGACCCGUGAGUGUGAUGUAUCUGCCUUGUGGGUCCUUCAGUAUUUGUUUGGUGCUGAGUGGACAGGUUUUUCGCAGCAGGAUAGCAACUCCAUUUUGUUUGGUCGUGGGGGAAUUUGCCAUGUGGCACUCUCGGUAUUGUCUGCUGAGAAGGGGGAAGGGUUUGGCCUGUGUGAAAUGGGUUUCUUGCAGUAAUAUUAUGUCUGCUUUUGUACGGUUUGCCCAUCUCAUUAGUUUAUGUCUUUUCGCUGGGUUGUUAAGGCCUUUGCAGUUGAUGGAUACGCAUGUCAGAUUGGUGUUCAUGGUGUUCCGUGAUGUGUGGAGUGAGUUGGUUCUCUGCGUGUCUGUAGUAUGUAGUGGCUGAGUGCCACUUGGAGGGUAUGUGGGAUGUCGGGAGGGGAAUGUGCAGGUCCGGGGUGGAAGGGUUGUCUGUAUAUUCGGUGGCCGCUAGGCUUGGGGAUCCGAGUCCGUGGGUGUAGGAGGUCAGGGGUUUACCUUGUAAGUGGGGUGAGGGUCGGGUGUUCCCCGGUCUUAUACCUAGGUUGCCGGGUGUGGCGGGGGCAGAGGUUGAGGGGGUGUAGGUACCGGUGUAUCGGUGCGGUCCUAUUCCCGUUUCCCCGUGGGUGGUCUGUUGUCCGGCUGGGGGGGAGCAGGUGUGAUCGUCUGCUACUGGGGGUUGGUCGUGAGUAGGUUGUGUGAGUUGGGUCGGAGCUGUCUGGAGAGGGGAUUAACCUUACCUCCCGUCCUCUCCGAGCCAUGCCAGUGUUACCUGAGUCGUGAUGGUUUGUCGGGUCGCUGGAAACCGAUGGCUGGGGUUUCGCUUAGGUGGGGGCUGCGGUAUGGCCCGGUGUGUGGGGGGGUGUUGAGGGUUCCGGCGAUCUGAAGAGAAAAUGUACAUGUCAUUAAUUGUUGCUGCCAGUAGUGGUGUGUUCCUGGGUUACGGGGGGUUCCAGUUGGCCGGUGCUCGGGGGUCGCUCUCAUGGUGUUAGCAUUGUGUCGAAAUUGUGGUUCGUGUGCUGGGCUGGUCGGUUGAGUCUUGGGUAUUAGAACUGUGGAGGGCCUUUGGGGGUCCAUCUCCUGUCUCCUACCUGUCUUUUUUUUUUUUUUUAUAAAUGUUUUAUGUGUGUUGCUCCCUGUCUUCACUGUUAUCCCCUUUGAUUGUCUUUACUUUCCCUUUGCUCUGCUUGGUUAUGUGGCCUCCCUUGUUUGUUUUUCCCAUACCGUUCUGCCCCCUGUUUCUCUUUAGGAUGGUCCCCCUUUACUUGCGCCCGUCUAAGAGCGGUGCAGUGUGCUUUCCAUGCCGCUGUGGGGGGGAGUAGUGCGGUUUGACACUUAUGCUGUAGUACAGUGGGGGCAGUGUCUUGUGCUAUUUGUGUUAUAGUAGAGGCGCCUUUCGGCCCCUGUGCUUCCCUAAAUGGGGAGCCGUACUCUUUGACACCUGCGUCUCGGUGAAGGGAGAGCAGUGUCCAUUAGGGCCUCCGCUUUAAUGAGGAGAAGAUAGUGCGGAAUGGGAUCAGUACCUGGGGAAAGGGGGAGCCAUGCCUUGGCAGAGGAAGGGUAGUGGGUUGAAACAGUAGGGUCCUGUUAAAGGGGGAGUGGUGCUGUCUGGCACUCGUGCCGUGGCAAGAAGGGGGGAGGUGCCCUUCGACACCUGUGUCUCGGUAUUUGGGAACAGGUUACUCGUUAACCUCAUUGCUUCCGUACAGGAAGGGCAGUGUAGUGCAAUUCAUCAACCAAUUCAUAGCAGAGGGGGACACUGUAAUAUCACACCUGCCCUGUUAACAUAGUGUAGGGUUUCCAAAUGUUUUAUCUCCUGGUGUUUUAGUUGUCUAGCGAUGCGGUUUGAUUAUCACGUUGGGCCGUGGUAUGGAGUGGGUCUGCCGCUGCGAUAGCGGGUUGUGUAGUGGUUGGCCUAGUUUUGGGAGUGCUGAUAGGGCUUUAGCAUGGCUUUAGCCGGCCCCUCUCUAAGAUAGUGGUCUAUCGUCGUAGGGGAUUGUGCGGUUAGAAAGGGGGGGCAGUGAUGAGGAAGGCCUUAGACUUUGGUGGUUGUGGCUUACUCCCCUGAUCUAGUGUGUUGGUGGCCCAAGUGUGUCAGCAUAUUCUCCGUCACAUUUUCAUCAUGUCAGGAAUGAAUACUAAUGUUAAUACAGUAAAUACAGUAAAACAGUAAAACAUUUCAGCAUUUCAACAUAUCAGGAUAUACAGGCCUGAGUCCUCGUUUGGUUUAUAGCGGUAAGCUCCGCAGGGUGAAAAGGAAAGUCCAGAGGCCGCGCAGGCUGAGUUCAGGUCACAGUGGCCGGGCUGGUAGCCCCGGUCGUCGGGGGGGGCCCUUUGCUGGCUUGGCGUCGGUGUGUCUGUUGGGGACGGUUAUUGGCGUAAGCUCCUCUGGUUUCGUUGUUGUUGUGCCGGUCUCUCGGUGGUGCCACGGUGGCGAGCUGUAUUCCCAGGGCCGCUGCAAACUCCUCCAUUGCAGACGGGUGGUGUAGCACGUGUUCUUGUUCUCCUAUGCGGACUUGAAGUUUGAAGGGGUGGCCCCAUCUGUAUCUUAGUCCUUGUUGGGCUAAUGCUAUAGUGAGUGGUUUUAGGUCUCUCCUUUUCUUCAGAGUGCAUGGAGCUAGGUCCUGGAAGAAGGUAAGCACGUGAGACCCAUGUUUUGGUUGCAUGGCUCUGGCUGCCGCCAUGAUUUUUUCUUUCGUGGCGAAGUGUAAUAGGCGGACGAUGAUGUCUCUGGGGACUGAUGGGUUGAGGGCUAUGGGUCGCAGUGCCCUGUGUGCCCUGUCUAUCUCCCUGUUUUGGUCUGUGGAAUUCGGGAGUAAGGACCGGAACAGUUCUUGUAGCGUGGGUAGUAUGGCGUCUGUAUCUACUGUUUCCGGCAUGCCCCUUAUUCUAAUAUUGUUCCUGCGAGACCGGUUAUUGAGGUCUUCCAGGCUGUCUUCAAGGAAUUGCACUUUGUCGCUUAAAUAGAAAAUAUCUUGCUUGUGUUGGGUUGUGUUCACUUUAAUUUGUGUGAUGUCAGCUUCUGCCUGUGCCGUGCGGUUGUUCAGGGCUUCGAUUUCCCCUUUUAGGCCUGAAAUGUGGCGUUCCAGUUCUGUGGCUGUGUGUGCCUUUAUAUCAGCUGUGGCAUCUUGCAGCAUUUGGCGGAGAUCGGAUUUGGUAAGUGAUUCAGGCGUUGUGCGGCAGUGUGUAGCUGCUUCUCUGUCUGGGGUUUCGCUGUCGUCGGUUUCAGCUCCGGAUUCUUGGGCCUCCUGGGUUAAAGAUGGCCGCCCCUGUUCCCUGGUGGCGCGGAACAUCGAUGCCACAGAUAGAGGGGUGUCCUUUUUUUUUUUUUAUUGCCCCCCAUGGAGAUGUUGAGCGGGGGGUGCUGCGGGUAGCGUGUGACCCUUUUUUGCUUUUGGGUGGUCGGGGAAAAGGUGCCGAUGUUGGCGGAUUGUGGCUCGUGGACGGGAGAGCUCAGGGUUUACACGUCCUGCUCCAUCGGCGUUCAGGCUCCGCCCCCCUUUAAUUUAUUUUUUAACAUUUGCCUUCAGUGUUUUUUUUUUUUUUGGGGGGGGGAGGGUUUUCUUACAUUUACCCCGUGCAUGGGGGGCCUGGGUGUCCUAAGGAGAAGCCUUGCAGAAGAACCCCUGGGGUGUGUUCUUGCAAUAACCAACAGCGGGCUCUCCUAAACUCCUAAAUCACAGUCAAAAAGCUGUGUGUGUGUGUGUGUGUGUGUGUGUGAAAAUGAGGAUUGAUCAGUUACCUCCACACGCGUUCUUCAACUGUUUUAUUUUUUUGGUCUGGCUAUAAAAAAAAGAAAAAAAAAAAAAAGAAAAAAAGUUGCAUCAAAGCACUCCACAUGCAAUACCUUGGGGUGUCUACGUUUCAAAGUGUGUACCCUUUCGUGGCAAUCUAUAAAACUGGGGUAUGUGAUAAGCCCCAAGCUAAAGAUAGGCCUAUCAGAAGAAAUACUCUCAAUUUCAACUCAAACUGAAAAGUCAUACAAUUGUAACCAUACCUUCCCAAAAUCCUGGCAAGCCUAUGCGUGGGGGGCAUGGGUGUUCUAAGGAGAAGCCUUGCAGAAAACCCCCUGGGGUGUGUUCUUGCAAUAACCAACAGCGGGCUCUCCUAAAUCACAGUCAAAAAGCAGUGUGUGUGUGUGAAAAUGAGGAUUGAACAGUUACCUCCACACGUGUUCUUCAACUACUGCAGGGUGUCAACUUUUCAAAUACAUGCACGCUCAUGUCAAGAAAAUACAUUGGGAUAUCUGAUAAGUCCCCCAUAAGGAAGAUCGGCAAAGAAGAUAUGUACAAUUUGAAAAACGCAUAUCAGACAUUUUGCUUUGCACCCCCCAGUGAACCCGACAAACAUAUGCAUGCGUGGUAUCGCUGUACCCGGGAGAUGUUGCUGAGCACAUAUUGGGGUGUCCUUUGGCAGGAACACCUAACAGGAGGUUAGAAUUUAUGCUCAAAGUAGAAUGUGUGAGUGAAAAAGUGAACAUGAAUGUGUGAGUGAAAAAGGACAUCACAAAAAUGUUUGACAGAGACUGGUGGUAGAAUUAGUGCAUGUAAAGUGUUGAAAUGCCACCAUGUGAAAUGCCCUAGGGUGUGUACUUUUCCAAAACAUACGGUUUGACGGAGGUGAAUUACAUUGGCUGGCUUCAGAAAUGUUCCAACUGGGACAUGGGGGCAUGAUGGCCAGCUGUGUUUUAUGUUUCAUCAUAUUUCACUUUUUUUAUUCUAGUAAAUCAUAUGAUAUGAUGAAAAUAAUGGUAUCUUUAGAAUGAACAUUUAAUAGUGAGGAAAACGGUAUACAAUAUGUGUGGGUACAGUAAAUAUGUAAGAGGCAAAUUACAUCUAAACACAGCCACUGCAGAAAAAGAACCCUGGUCCUUAACGGUAAUACAAUUGAAAAAUUGCCUGGUCACUAAGGGGUUAAAAUCCUAGUCUCUGAAAAUGCAACUUUCAGAAGAAAGGUCCUUCAAGUAGUAGUCACCCUGGGUUUAAAACUUGCUACAUCCCAUUCAUUAUGUCUACAGCAAGAGACGCCAGGUAAAACAAGAUAUUGCUUAUGAUAAAUAUCUUUUCCAUUCGACUUUGCAGCAGCCGGUUUGUCUCUUUUCUUAUUUUGUAAUAAAGCAAUUUUUGACAUGGUUAUUUUUCUUAUUGGCUCACUACUUCACAGUUUAGAAGGGAGAGGAUAUCCUAAUUUAUUACAGGUUUUGGAAGGUUUUUAAAGACAGAUCACUACUUGACUGUCCGGGGGUAUUUAAAAUAAAUUAACUCAUUUGUUAUGGCUGGCCCUUGAACUAAUGUAAACAAGGUUUACAGUAAUCAACAUUCUUUUUUUUUUAACAAAGCUUUCAACAUGAUUAGCUUUUUACUUGAUAAAGGGAUUGGCAUAUAAAAACAGUCCAAUAAUAAAAAGUGCUGCAAUAUUUUAUCUGUAUCAUUGUACAAAUAGGUCUACUUAAAAGUACCUGAAUUCUAAGUUUGGAAAUUUUUGGGAACCAUGGAAUAACAGUGACUUAGCAGCUACAUAAUAAAAUGACAGACAGGUUAGAAAAGACGAAAACAACCGCCACGCCCUCCGAUCCAAACCCUAAAAAGACACUCAGGGAUCAAACACAGUCUGACUCCGCGCAGCACUACGGGGCGCGACGGCUCUAAACAGAGACCGGGUGACAGCACGUUCGCCCGCACGCCGCACCCAUAUGACCUGAUAACACUUUUUUUCCCCUCUUUCUCUUCACUUCUUUACUAUCAUCCUGCACCACUUCUAUAUUCUACUCUACACUCAACCCGGGAAAUAAACACCCGGGCACACUACCGAAAGGCUACAGACAGAAAUGUAAACAUUUCUUGACCUCAAGAAUGACAAGUUUAGCAUAUUUAUGUUAUGGUUUAUAUUCUCCUAACAUACCAUGCCGUGGAAACAUGAUCAGAUGUACUGUAACUGAAUGAAACAAAGACACCACUAGGAUACACAGUGAAGGCCGUUUUCUUUUCAGAAAAGUACACCAACGAUAAAACACACUGUAUGUUGAGAAAAGUUAUGACUAGUUUACAUAGAUAACGUAUAUUAAACUUUAUAAAAACAAAAAAUCCUUGACGGACGGUGAAAAUGUUCUUCAUGUAAUUCAUACAUUGUCCAUUGUUUUCGCUAUAUGUAACAUUACCUAUAUGUGAUGCAUUAUAUUUGGCUUCUGCGUAAGCCCGAUGCAGUCAACAUGACACUGUCUAUGUCAAGAUGAAAAAAAAAAUACCUGAAUUUGUAUAUAGUAAUCAAAAAAGAUAAUGGAAAUUUUUGCAAAAAAUACAAAUUGAAAAAUAGUGUGUUUUUGUUUCAGCAUCCAGACCUUACCACAGGACAGAAGCGAUACUUAUGUAGCAUUGCGAAAGUCUACAGGGUGAGCCAAAUGAAAGCAAUGGUUCAUCGUCCACUUGCUUCACAGAUAAAAUGUGGUAAGACGUGUUAGAAAUCAAAUCAAUGUGUUUAUACACUCGUCUUCCAAUAUCGUCAUAAUAAUCCCAAAAUCAACAUACCUCUCUCAGCAUAUGUAGGGAGGCAUGCAUACCAAAAAAAAGCUGUAAGUGGGCAUUAAGGGGGCUGGGCCAGGUAUGCAACCUAUGACGUUACAGCUUAAUGAGGCAGAAGCGGUCAGAAAGAAUGCAGGACAUGUCGGCCUGACUGCCAAUCAUGUUGACUGGUCCUAUUAAGUAAUAUCAAAGCUAUCAUAUGCAUUGGAUAAAUCAUCUACAAUAUAGAGAUUAUAGAACAGAAAUGAUCAUCGGUCUGUACCACAGAUUUGUGUGGUGUAUUCAUUCUCGGGGCAAAUUAGAAAUGCUUGGGAAGAGGAAUAACAGCUUUAUGAAAGGCACUGUUUAACAUGUGUGUGAAAUAUGUACACAUAAUAAAUAGAUGAAAUUGGAUGAUGCUGGUGGCAAAGUUUUCAGAAAAGUUGGGGUUCUUCAUUAUAGAAGGAAGUGAGAAAAAUUGAGAAUGGAAUUACAGAUUUUAAAGGGGAAAGUUGCCAAAUUGGAAACAUUCUCCACUUCACUCUGAUACAAACUUUGCAGUUACUUUGUCAGUUCUCCAGCAUUUCCAGUUUAGUGAAUACACCCAGAUGUCCAACAUUUCACCACCUGCAAAUGACUAGGUUUGUUAUUUUAUUGAUGUAAUUAUUUCUAAUCAAAGAUUUGCGGGGUCUCCGGCAAUGUCUAUGUCUAUAUAGGCAAAUAUACUGUCCACUGCACAGAUCCAUUCUUAAUCUACAACAAAUGAACAGGUGCGUGUAGAUGUUUACAAAUAAUAUCAGUUUCCUUAUUUCCAAUUUAUUUUUAGGUUCUUCAGACAAAGCUGGAACAUAUGAGAAGAAUGAAAAAGAGAAGAAGAGGUGUAAAUAAAAUGUUCAGAUAUGUCCAGAGGAUAUAAAAUCCAAUGGGCACAAAAAGGUUCCUUGUAAAAUAUAGAACUGAUAUAAUAUUAGAAAUAUAUAAACAAUUAGAUACAUUUUAUUAAAUAUUUAGAGAAAAGACAUAUAACAUAGACCCAUAAAAAAGAGCCACAAGAAAUAAAAGCUCUAUAUAAUGAACAGGAGGGGGAGGCUCUAUAGUAGACUAGAUGGGAUGCUGGGUGGGGAUAAUAGGAAUGGGAGUUUGAGAACCUAUACAGUUUGUGUAUCAACUGCAGUGAACCUCUUGUGGCUAUAAUCAAAGGCAACAAAGAGCCCUAUGAAUCAACCCCACUGUUAUGGGUAAACUGUAUUAAAUCAAAUGUGUACAGUGUAAUAGUGUCUCAACACCAACUGCUACCUGAAAGGAUAUUACAAAGAUUGGGUUAUCAAUGACAUCCUGAAAGAACGAAAGAUAAAUAUCUGCAACAGCCUGGCUGAAUAAAAAUCUGACUUCAAGGUCGCCGAGUGAAAAAAACAUUGUCAAAAAGAUUUCAGGACAUUAAUAAAACUAAAUAUGUCGCUUGGUUAGGAGCUAGAUUUAGGAUUUCUUGAGAAACCGAACCCAAGUCGAAUGGUUGAGUGUCAUGUCUAUACCCAUUAAAUUGCCAAGAGACAUUUAACUAUCUUUAUAUUUGAGAGAAGACAAAUGUGAGGAUGUAGCAGGACUACGAGGGCCAUGAUGUAAAUCACCAGUUGUUGCAAAACUACACUUAUCAUUUUACUUUACCUUUAAAGGGGCACUCCACUGCUCAAAUACACAUAAUUUUAUAUAUGUGUGUGUGUAAAUAAUAUUACUAUUAGUAUUAAUAUUACUAUUUAAUACAUAUACUCCCAGUGAAGAUAUGCAUGCCUUUAAUUAUGCAUUUUCCCACUGGGGAUGUAACUAAAAACAGCUUCUCAUCUGCAGCCUUUACAAACCCUCCCCUUCUAACCCCACUCUGACUUUCUGUGUCUGUCCAAUCACAGUCUUCCCAAUGCUGCUCAAUGAGAAGUCUUUGCAAGGCAGGUACUCUGGGCAGUUGCUGCCUCUUGAGUUUAUCUCCACUGAGCUGAACAAAUAUGGAAGUAACAGUGCUGGUUGUCUGAUUUACAGCCAAUAUGUUAUCAAGUGUUUAACAGGCCCUCUGUUAUGCUGUUAUAAGUUCCAAGCUGUAUGCAGUUUGUUAUUGCACUUUCCAGUUAUUUGAAGUAUGAAGGAGGAAGAUUUCUUCUCUUAAUAUUCAUAAACACUUUUGAAUUUGUUUAGCAGUGCAUGUAAGACCAUUAUUAUUUUGCAAUUAUUACUCAGUAAUAUCACAAGAGAAUGGUAUGGUCUUAUAUUCCUUGGCUUUCUAUGACCAUGCAAAUAAUUCACCAGACUGAAUGGCUGCCGCCAUUGUCAUUACAGAUCCCUCUUAUGAAGUAUUCUUGGUAUGAAGCAUCCCCUUUGUGUUUUUUUUUUUUUUAACAUAAACCAAUCCACAUUUAGGAAGUUAGGUACAUGAUAAAUCCAAUCAUAUUUCCCCACAUUGCUUGUGGUCAACUUUGAGGCUGUAUUGUGUGGGAUUUUACUACUGUCAGUCAGUCUCUCCUGAUAACAUUCUACCGAUAGCCUCCGGUCUCCUCUGCCAGUGAGUGUGUGUAUAAUACACUGGCAAUUACAUUUAUAAUUACAUAUAUAUAUAUAUAAAAAAAAUUCCCCUUCACUCUGUGAUCUUAACACAAGAUAUUUACGACCCUCAUCGAUAAUGGUGUCUAUUUUCUAUCAAACUUGUGUCUUAUCUGCACUCAUGUCGCUUUAACCCCUGUAUCACAAACCAACUUUGAUUUCUAUGUCGUCUUACUCAAAUGCUUUAGACUUGAGAAAGGGAGGUUUUACCGAAAGCUUGUCAUUAAACAAUUCUGUUAGUCCAAUAAAAAGGUAUUACAAG